rnacentral:rRNA from 1 species
GACGAACGCUGGCGGCGUGCUUAACACAUGCAAGUCGAACGGAAAGGCCCUGCUUUUGUGGGGUGCUCGAGUGGCGAACGGGUGAGUAACACGUGAGUAACCUGCCCUUGACUUUGGGAUAACUUCAGGAAACUGGGGCUAAUACCGGAUAGGAGCUCCUGCUGCAUGGUGGGGGUUGGAAAGUUUCGGCGGUUGGGGAUGGACUCGCGGCUUAUCAGCUUGUUGGUGGGGUAGUGGCUUACCAAGGCUUUGACGGGUAGCCGGCCUGAGAGGGUGACCGGCCACAUUGGGACUGAGAUACGGGCCAGACUGCUACGGGAGGCAGCAGUGGGGAAUAUUGCACAAUGGGCGGAAGCCUGAUGCAGCAACGCCGCGUGCGGGAUGACGGCCUUCGGGUUGUAACCCGCUUUCGCCUGUGACGAAGCGUGAGUGACGGUAAUGGGUAAAGAAGCACCGGCUAACUACGUG